rnacentral:rRNA from 1 species
UACGUAGGUGGCAAGCGUUGUCCGGAUUUACUGGGCGUAAAGAGCGCGCAGGCGGUCGUUCAAGUCGCGUGUGAAAGCCCCCGGCUCAACUGGGGAGGGUCACGCGAUACUGAUCGACUCGAAGGCAGGAGAGGGUAGUGGAAUUCCCGGUGUAGUGGUGAAAUGCGUAGAGAUCAGGCGGAACACCCGUGGCGAAGGCGGCCAGCUGGGCCGUCCCUGACGCUGAGGCGCGAAGGCGUGGGGAGCGAACGGG